AUGGUCUGUUACCCUGCCACCUUUCAGCUAAAUGAUCUCAAAGGUCUCUUCUUAGACUUAGAAAGGGUACAGAGUCCCUCAGCAAUGAAGGAGGUGUCAUCAGAGCCAGGCUCCCUUUAUAAACCCAGGGAAGCAGGGAGGCAUCCCAGCUCCCUGAGUGUGCACGCAGACAUGGGGAAUGGCGUCGUCCCAGUGAAUGGCAGGCUGCAAGAGAAGAUGUGCCCCAGUUUCCUGGGAAAGGCCAAGACUAGUCUGUGACCUCCAAAGGGAAAGAAACUGGGAGUUCCCGAAGUCUAUCAAGCUCACUUGGCUGAUUGUCCAGGCUACUGCUUAGAGCAGCCCGAGCUUACACGUAAGGACUUAAACCAGGGACAGCAAACAGGUUUCAUUUAAAGCACCAACUACAGUCAACUGUGCUAAGGACUCUGCACCCCAUGUGAAUAUGUACU
rnacentral:lncRNA from 1 species